UUUAGGAUAAACCUUUAAAAAGACAGCUGUGUGAAAUCCUGUAUAUUACACUUCAUGACUAGAGGGUAAAAAAAUCCCUCUCGUUAGCUAGAUUUCCUACUUAGCCCAGCUGGGCCAUUCCAAGUGGUCUGGGGAGUCGAGGUGAUCAUGAGCCAAUGAUUAUUCAUUUGUAUGAGCCGCCAGCAUAACCUGCCAGUAAUAGUUACCCACAUUGAGCAUCUGUGCAUAGAUACUGAUAGGGGUAGUUGUUACGACAGCCAAAAUGGCAAAUCCCAGCAUGCCCUUUGCUUGAACACAGUUAUUUGAAUGAAAGAACAUUUUCAAAUUUCCUGAACUGGCACAAAUUCCCAAGAGAAUUUGAACUAUAUAGUCAAGGGCAGAUUAUGGUUUUAAAGUUUGGCUCAGAUCUACUCCAAAUGGACUACCAAUCUUAUUAAGGAAAGUUGGAUACAAAAACUAAUGCAAAUUUUGGGUAUGUAAGCAGCAGGCAAAAAUCUAUGCUAUUAUGCUACCCUUUAGUCUUGCAUGCAUGCUGUUCAUCUUCUUUGUUAGAAACUAGGGAAGUUUCUCAUAUACAUAUAUAUGUUUACAUUGUAUAUACGUGUAUGGUCAAAUGUGUAUAUAUAAGUAUAUGUGUUAAUGGGAGAUUAAUAAGUAAACUUGGAGCUCUAUUAUGGUUUAAAAUGAGAUUUUUCCAAUUACUUAUGUUUUAUUUAUAAUUUUUUUUUUGGUAGUCUUGAUUUCUUCUACCUAUCCGUUCUCUAUGAAGUAACACCACCCAUUAAAUUGUUAAUCAAGUUAGCCUUUAAACAAAUGUUUAUUGAAUAAUUAUGAUGUUUAACCAAUGUCAAAAAUGGUUGACAGCAUCUCUUGCAGAAAUUGUGUCCCUGAGAUUCCUGUGACUCGGACUUCAUGUGUCCCACAGCUUAAGUCUAUCGUUUUCAAAAUACAUUUUUUAAGAAGCACCUGGGUUGUUUCUUCAAGAUAUAUAUUUCUAGGCUGUAUUAGAAUAUAUUCUCAUUCAGUACUUCUAAAAUACAGUUCAAGUAUCUGCUUUUUUCAAUGUGUAUUCCCGGAUGAUAGUGACAGACUUGAUUGUCUACCUUUGGAGAGAUAUUGAGCUCUUUAAUUUCUAUGGUUUGUGUCCCCUCCAAAAUUCAUGUUGACACUUAAUCCCCAUUGUGGUCAUAUUAAGAGGUGAGGACUUUUGGAAACUGAUUAAGUCACGAGAGAUCAGCCUUCACAAAUGGAUUAAUGUCCUAUGAAAGGGCUAGAGAGAAGUUGCUUAGGCCUCUUUUUGUCCUUCUGUUCUUCCAUGAUGUGAAGACACAAUGUUCAAAGACCCAUCUUGAAAGCAAAGACUGAGGCCCUCACCAGACACUACACAGGCCCACAAUUUGCUCUUGGACUUCUAAGACUUAACCGUUAUGAGGAAAUUGGUUUCUGUUCUUACACUUAGUCUCAGGUAUUUUUAUAGCAGCACAAACAGACUGACACUAAAUAAAUUACAACGCCCAGACAAAAGAUGGUGAAAGAGAAAGAAAUAAAGAUGGGGAAAACAUAAUCUUAGGUUUGCAUGAGAUAAGGGAUUAGAGAUUCCAUGUAGUAUUUCCAGGAAUGCCUCACUCUUCUUAUUAUAGGCACUCACUCAAAUGUAUUAAAUAUUUGUGUUUUUGAGUAAAAAUGUUUGUUUUGUAUAUGUUUUAAUUUACACAAUGGAUUUAUGCUGAAGAUUGAGUUCAUUUCUACUUUUUUUCCAACAAUAAAAAUGAACAUAAUAAAUUGCCUAACUGUUCAAAACAUUUCUUUGUGUGCUCCUACUAUAUUUUAUUUAUUCAUUUUAGCUAUGUGGCCUUCAACAUUCUUCUGCACAAAGAUGCUAUGUAGAGCAUAUCCUCCUAUAAAGAGUUUGAGAGUUUCUCACUGUAGGUAUGGAAUGGCUGGUUCAUAAGAUAUUAUAUUUUGUCUACUAUAUUUAACAAUAUCCUCAUUAAGUGAAUAUGGUUGAUGCACGAUGCUCUUUGAUUUUUUUCCCCCAAAAAGUUCAUGUGCUGGAAACUUGAAUGGCAUGCUAAAAGAAUUAAGAGGUGGGAUCUUUGAGAGGUUAUUAGGCCAUGAGGGCAGAGCCAUCAUGAAUGAAUUAAGACCAUUUUUUGUAAAAGUGGGCUCCUGAUAAAAGAACAAGUUCAGCUCCAAUUUUCUCUCUGUCUUCCAGGCCCUUCCACUUCUUCCAUAGAAUGACACUUGCCAAAUGCCAGCACCAUGCUCUUGGACUUUCCGGCCUCCAGUAAUAUGAUACCAAUAAACGUUUAUUCUUUAUAAAUUACUGUCUGUCAUAUUCUGUUAUAGCAGCCAAAAGAUGACUAAAGCACAAAACCAUAGGUGGAAUGAACGUGACUUGAGUAUCAGACUAAACUUAGGACUUUGGACUUGGGAUUUCUGAGUGAUGCUGGAGUGAGACUGAAAGGACCUUGAACAUGAGGACUAUGUUGUUCCUCAGUUUCUCUACUACUUUGGCAAGUCCUAGACACAGUGCAAUGUGCUUAACCAAAGUUGAAUUGGACUGGGCUCAUCUGAGGUCAUCUGUGGGCUUUUGACCCUUUGAUGACAGGAACUUCCUUUGACUUUUGGGACACUCUGAGUCCUGGAGCAUUUCUUACUACAUAGCAUCCUUUGAAGCUAAGCACUAUUAUUAUCUCUAUUUGAUAAAUGAGCAGACAGAGGCAGAGAGAUGGAAAGUAACUAGCCCAAGAGAGGCAGGUUUGUUUUCCUUAAAUUGGAGGUCAUCAUGGACUGGGGACUGGCAGUGACUAAGGAAACAUGAAGAUAAAGGUAUGCAGAUUGAGGUAGCAUGUUCUUCCAGAAUUAGUUGGGCAAAGAUAUGUGUUUUUCCAUAGAUCAGCAGUGACUCUGCAAGAGAGAAAGCUGGUAUGGGAUUGUCCAGUGUCCUGUCCAAAAGAUUCAGAGAGACUCCAACAUCAAGAAAGCGGUGGUGAAUGCCAAAUUACUGGGAACUGAUAAAGCAGACUAAAUAGAUAUGUAUCUACUCUGGACAAAAGAAGUAUAAGAAACAGAUGUCCAGAGAUGGGACUCUCUGAAGAAUCCAUGAGAAAGAGACUAUUUUAACCACUAUCAGGCCAGGAGAGGAUACAGCCAAGCAAUCCAUAUCUCAUCCCUUCCCCACCUACAAUGAGAAAAGACGUAACCAGGAAGAGAAGACAAAAAGAACUAUAUGUCUUUCUCAAAUGCCAAGAGCUAACAGUUUCAGUCCUUCACAUUGGGAAGAGAAUGUGUUUGCUGGGAGAUUUCUUGUAAUUAAAUGACUAUCAAUUACCAUCUUCAACAAUAUAAUAUAAUUUCUGAUUGGGGACCUGGUUUGCAUCAUAAAGAAAUAAUAGUAUUGCCUACUUUCAAUAAUUUGGGAAGCUUUUUGAAGUUUCCAUUCAGUGGCAUGGGGGUUACACUCGUGAAUAAAUUUUAAAGGGUCAGUGAGACUGUAAAUAAAUACAAAAAUAAAUAGAAUUGUAUUUCACUCUCAUUCUGAGACUUUUGUGUUUACACUGGAAUAGCAGUGAUCUGUCAUUAUGCCACAUUUUUUUUCUGUUUUCAAUGCCCUGAUUUCCUCUCACUCACCACUGACCUAUGCCUACUUUAUAUAUGAUGAGGUACCUUCAGUCACUUUCUAAUGAGCUUGGCAAUAUGUGGUCUUAGGCAGAGACUUUUUCAGUGUUACUCAAAGUCUGCUGUCAAAGGUUUCACAGCUGGCCACAUGGCAAACGCCCGUAUUUCUACUAUCAUCAGUGAAAGAGUGGCUUAUUUCCUUUGAGACUUUUCAGGCAUGAACUAAGUACAGUUUUCUUUGUCCCCUUAAUUUUGGAGCACGCAUGUAGGUUUUCAUAAUUAUUCUUUUAAAACAUUGCUGUUAACCUUUUUCAUACUCAGUGACCACUUUUAUAGAUCCUGGGGUUGAAUAAUUGACUAAAUGUGGUUGUAUUUGGUACAGGAUCUGAUAGCACUUGUAAUUCCCAAACUGUGGGACUUUUGUAAGGAAAAAAAAAAAGUUGUUACUGAUACAAGGA